rnacentral:rRNA from 1 species
GAUGAACGCUAGCUACAGGCUUAACACAUGCAAGUCGAGGGGUCUUUUGGAGCUUGCUUUAAAAGACGACCGGCGCACGGGUGAGUAACGCGUAUCCAACCUGCCCUUCAUAUUGGGAUAGCCUUCCGAAAGGAAGAUUAAUACCGAAUAACAUGAUAGAGUUGCCUGAUUUUAUCAUGAAAGCUCCGGCGAUGAAGGAUGGGGAUGCGUUCCAUUAGGUAGUAGGCGGGGUAACGGCCCACCUAGACGACGAUGGAUAGGGGUUCUGAGAGGAAGGUCCCCCAAACUGGAACUGAGACACGGUCCAGACGCCUACGGUAGGCAGCAGUGAGGAAUAUUGGUCAAUGGGCGCAAGCCUGAACCAGCCAAGUAGCGUGAAUGAUGACUGCCCUAUGGGUUGUAAACUUCUUUUAUACGGGAACAAACCCUGGUACGUGUACCAGAUUGCGUGUACCGUAUGAAUAAGCAUCGGUUAACUCCGUGCCAGCAGCCGCCGUAAUAC